AUACAAAUCACCCAGGGAUCUUGUUAAAAUGCUGAUUCUGACUCACUCGGCCUAGGUGGAGGCCUGAGAUUCUGUACGUCUCACAAGCUCUCAGGUGAUGUCAAU
rnacentral:pre_miRNA from 1 species